rnacentral:lncRNA from 1 species
GCUCUGUGCUCUCGGCGGACCGGCGCGGGGAGGGCGGCGGCGUACGGGAGGAGCCGAUCCCAACCAGGGUGCUAUAUGCAAAUUUUAGGGUUGUAAAUAUAAAUAAUCGCGAUCCGAAUUAGGGGGUUAUUUGAAAAUUGUAGGGCUCUACAUGAAAAAUAAUCUCGAUCCAGGGGGUGUCGUGGAAAUGUUACGAUCCAAUCCGGGGGCCGUUUCCCA